GUGCAAAGCUGUGUACUCAGACACUGCCUGUCAGGCCAAGUGACUUGUCAAAUCAAAGCCUUCUUGAGCAUGCAGCUCUCCCUCUUCCUUUCUCAAAGGGAAGAGUUCCUUCUCAAAGAGCUCUUUCCCCAGUCCCUGCAUUUCCAGGAUCACAAAGCAGGUGAGUUGCUAAAGCAAAAUUAGUUCCACCUCAUGUAGCAAAUACUGCAGUGAUACUAGAAAAAAGGAUUUUAAUGAACAGGGGCAAUGCAGAAUUUUAGACAUCUAGAGAGAUACUUGUUUAUUUCAAAAUGCCUUUUAAUUUGAUUUAAAGGGAAAGUCAGUUUUCAAACUAUCAACAGGAAAAUGAAACAGUUUGUUCAAUCCAAAUGUAUUCAGAAAGUCUUUUCCUUAAUAAUGUUGAAUUUUGUUUCUGGUCCAACUGAAAGCAAUUUUUUUUUUUUACUUUUUCAGAACUGCCAGCAAAUCAGAAAUAUACAGAUAUGCCAGAGCUUUGGAUUUAAAAUAGUGGAUAAAAAAAUGAAAUAGAAACAAAAUUGGCAGCCAAUAAGAUUAUGAGAAAAUAAAUGCAGCUAAAUUGUAAAAUUGAGGGGACACCUGAAUGCUUCACAGAAUAUUUAAAUAAUUGCGCAUAUGUGUCCAAGGACAAACAGCGGAAUUGUGGGUCCUUUCAGUGCCUUCUGUGAAAAAGGAAAACAGUAUGCUUUCAAUUGUUCAGAGCUCUUUACAUUCUUUAUACCACCUUGUAUACUACUCUUCCAUUGCAUUGUCUAUGGAAAACAAAUAAAAAAUAAACCCACAAAAAAACAAAACUCAGCUAGGAUGAGCAUGAAUACACAAUGUUACCUCAAUUAGAAAAUAUUGUUCUCUCUAACCACUUGCAGACAUGAAUAUAAAAAGCACAUUUUCAGCUUGAGUCAGAUUCAGAAGUGGUGUAAAUGCAGGAGUUCGUUAUACUUUGUGCACGUAUAUCUGCACAGCUGGAUGUCAGUAUUACAGGCUGCUUGCAGUAUUUCCUAUGCCAUCAUUGUUUAUUUUCCUCUUUUUCUUAUUUUUUUCUUUGUUAUGAUGUUUUUCUUACGUGUAACUUUCUUUAAGGAAAUGGGGAUUAUCUUCAAAGAAAUGAGUAGAGAUGAGGUCUAUCUGCUAGUUCUAUACUGUGGGUUCACCACAGAUAUCAUUAAUGCUUUCUUUAUUGAGUCUCAAGGUGAGAUGUGAUGGCAUCUCUGUUACUGCAACAGACUAGUGGAGUUCUCCAUCAUUAAUCUUUAUGUAACUUUUAUUUUAAAACCUUCUGUCCUUUAUUAGCAUCCUCACACAGGGCUUCAGUUUUACCUAAUCCCAAAAAUAAUUUAACAUGUCAUUUCUUUCUCAGACAUCAAUAUGUGGAUGUGUGCCAGAGGCUGCACUUUUAACAUAGCUUUAGGCAUUCACAGUUUCUCCCCAAAGCAACCUGAAAACAGAUUAGUAUGUGAAAUUCAUCUCAGACAUGGUGUUAUUUCUUCCACUUUAGCAGCAGAUUUUCUACACACCUAUUUUUAAACAGGUUGUAGAGGGAUUUUAAAGAUAUUACUCAUUUUGAAUAUUAAUAUAUUUUUUUAAUGAAAAAUUUAACCAAAUAUGCUAAAUAUUUGAUGUUUUUUUCUAGUGGCUGGAAAAUCAUAGAAUGGUUUGGGUUGGAGGAGACCUUUAAGAUCAUUGCCCCUGUUACAGGCAGGGAAUCACCAUUAUGUUAAGAAAUUAUUCAUCAAAUUCCACACUUCCAAAAUUUCCCAUAGCAUCUUAAACUGUGUAUUGUUUUUACCAAUAUCCAAUCCAACUGUCGUGGAUAUCUGAGCUGCCCAUUUAUUCGGCACAGCCAUCUCCCUUUUGUCUAACUCUGGUAUUUUCUGAGGCAGAAAAUUUCUGUUAUAACCAUUUGGGUGGUCCUGACAGGUCUAUUUUUGGCUACAUAUGCCGGAAUCAAAGAUUUUUGACAUGAUUUUUUUUCCCUUUUGCAAUAAAUGCCAAAUUUCUUUCUGACACCUGUGAGGAAAGUUAACAGUUUUUUUUAAGUAACACCUAAUUGCCUCACUGGUUACCAGUGGUACUCAACAACCAUCAUUUUUUUGGACAAGAAACAAUAAAUUUGAGGUUAAGGACAGCUAUGAGGAUGGAUUUGCAGUUAGGGUGCUAGAGAUGUGCUCUUAGUUCCUCAGUCCAUCAUAUAUUUCAGGUAUGAUUUUGCCCAAAUGAUUUUCUGUGUAAUUCAUCAUCGCAUUAUACCAUGCCAGAAACACUAUAAAUUAUUUACCCUGAAUCUCCAGCUGAGUAAAUUAUUCCACUGAGUAUAUCUGUUCUGGACUACAUUUUGCAAUGUAAGCACAUUCUCUGUAAGUAUGGGGAGAUCACUGCUGCUUUGUUUCACACUAGCUCACACAGUGCCUACAGAAGUGAGAAGAUGACCAGUGUUAUGACACAAGGGAUCAGGGAGUAUGCAAACUGACAGCAGUCUGCUGCUGAGAGUUGGAACCAUGAACACCGGAACCAUGACCACCUUUUGAGUUAGGUACUAACAAGAGAAUUUUCCUGUUUGGAUGAUCCUCCACUGUCCCUCCAUUCAUCCAACCACGAAUGCAAGCUUGCCAAUGCAUGGACACUGCUACUGGCAACAUAGCAGAAAAUAAACAAGAUCCUGGAGCAGGCUCAGAGAAAGUUCAUUCUAAUGGCUAAUGGAGGAUUAAUGUCAAAUUAAGAGAAUUAAAUCUUGAAUGGCUUCCUUCUUGUAUUGUGAUUCCUCUUAGCUUGGAGUAAGAGAAACACCAGAUUUCUCUGACUUUUAAGCAUACUAAGGGUGGUUCUUGGCAUGACUGCAACCAAAUUUGUCUUUACUGGCACUCACUAACUACAAGUGAGAAUGAUGCCAGCAUUUUGUUCUUUCUGCAGUGUGGUCUGUAUAUAGCCAUUUUAUUACAUACGGUAAAAACGUGUGCUGCUCUGUUCUAGCAGGAGCACAGUCAACAUCAUAAGAAUGCUAAGAGCAAAUUGGUCAGAUUGCCUAAGCAUGUGCUUCUGACUCAGCUCAGAUUCUGACACUGACAAAGCUGUAAUAAUUUUCAAGCUUGAGAUCUGAGCAGAGGGAAUCCCAUUCUUUUGACUGUGAAUGAAAAUGCCAUUGGACCCCAGGGCACAUGGAAAUAAUGUGUUAUGCCCAGUUCUGACAUACAAUUGCAAGAACCUGUAUUCACAUGCUGGAGCUGAAGUGGAUGUAUCCUCACAUCCACCAGACAUAUUUAUGUACCCUCAUUAACCACUAUGUGCUGGGCAGCUGGGAGGGAAGCUGCCAUAGAAGUAGCAUUCAGCAUAAGGAGCAAACAGCAGUCUAACUGUUAAUACGCUCUGGGAGACAGGGCAUUGCUGUGCUGUGCCCUGCAUAUAUCCAUGUUAUUGUGCAACCUGCUUUCACAGUUGCUUAUAGCCAAGUGCCUGGUACCCACUCAUAAAAUAUUUUCAGACUUGUCUGUGUAUGCAGAAAUAUGACCAUGUAAGAUUUUGAUUUUUAACAGCAAGAAGUGGAUGACUCUGAAACCUGCAACAGCUAGGGAUUAAAGUGUUAUUGGCACUGCUGUAUCUAACUUACACUAACAAGUGAUCUAAUCAUCUAGCCAAUACUAACAUGAAGAAUUACUGCUCUAAAUAAACAAACAAAAACAUAAAAAAGUAUGUAUUAGGAACCAUCUUGGAGCCAUUUAUUAUGGAGAGACAUAAGCUGUCUCUAGAAUACCUGACACCUUGGCCACUUUGAAUACAACUCUCUCAUUUAAUUCUCUGUGAAGGUCUGCUCAGAAGUAAUUGAGACAUUAUGUUUUUAAGCUACAAUUUACCAAUAGAUCUCUGUCUUAUAGACUAGGAUUUUAAUCAGUUGAGAAACUGAUUUUCAAGGCCUUUUCAGGAGCUGAAAUUGGGCAACCAAUUGGUUGUUCUCAUAGGAAAACUGCAGUGAUAAUAAUACUCAUGUUCAAAUGCCUCUGAGUCACUAUUCUCCCAACUACUGCUCAAUCAUAAUAUAAAACACCAUGUCAGUAUUCUUCCUGGCUCAGUAGGCUUCCUGGAACACUUGGUUAAAUUUUCUCCCUUCUGUUUCCUUCCCAUUGAAUUGUUCAUCCAGGAGCUUUCCUUUCUUUUUUUCUUCUAUUUCAUUUAUAAAUAGCAACUUUAUGAAAAGGGCAGAGAUGGCAUGUUUUUUUUUUCAAAGCUAGAUUUUACGGGGACUCUGUCAAGUGGUAGAGAAAAUGAGACUAAAAUUGCCAAAAUUUCUCAGGUAUGGGCCACAUGCAUAAUUGUGAGUGGGACUGCAAGGAGUGUGAUGACAGUUCUGGCUCCAUAAAAUUAUCUUAAAAUACACAAAUACAUGUUAUUCAUUAAACAAUUUUGUUAGAAGUAGUAUGAGAGAUAUUUAAGCUUUGAUAAUGCACACUACAAGAGAGAAACAAGGUUCCGAAAGGAAGAUUUACAGUGAAUACAAAUUGUGAGUGAUGGAAUUAGCAGAGUCUAAAAAGAAGAGCUUUAAAGAUUUCAGGUUGUUUUCUUCUUCCUCUUCUUCCCUACACACUGGAAGUUAUUUUAUUAAAAGUCAGAAUUAAAAAGCAAGAGUACUUCAACACCCAUUAUUAAAAUAAAUGUGUUUAUUGCAAAUGUCUUAGCAAAUGUGAAUGAGGUUAGCUGGAGUCCUGCAACACCACUGCACAUGCUUCCAUCCCACCAGUGCUGGAGGUGCAUUCCAGGGAACCUUGAGCACAAGGCUGACACAAAAUUUAGAAAUUUGCAGGCAUGGCAUCUUGGAGAAGAAACAUAUGUUGGCUCAGAGUAAGGUCCCAUUUCUGUGUGUCUUCAGGUGGCACUCUACAGAGAUCUGAAUAAGUUCCUUAAGAGUCUUUUGUUCUGAGAACAUAGCUCAGUACUAUAACAAAGAUUAAUUGUUUUAAGUUCCCAAACUGUAUUGUUCAGUGCUCAUUCACUGCAUACAACAGUAUGCCUGAGUUGAUUCUAUAGCCUCUCCUACAGCCUUUUAGGCUGUUCUACCUCAGAGUCACAUUUUUUUUUCCUCCUUCAUAAGAACUUAAUGAGAAAAACUUUAAAUCAGUUCACAGAAUUCAUGGAAAUGACUGAGUUUUCUUGAUUCCAGGAAGGCAAGACUCAUCUCAUUUGGCCUUGGGUGUUUACAAGCAAGGAGAGAAAAGGGCAAAUUUUGGACUUCUUUGACUUAUGUUACAUAGAUAUUUGUUAGACAUUUAUUGCAGGGUAAGAUGACCCAUGGCCUACACUCUGUUGAGUAUAUUAAGUCCUUGUUAUUUAUAAAGAGAUCUUGGAGUGUUUAUUCAAUUAAUUAGAUGAAUUACGCUGGAGGUAAUGCCUAAUGAUUUUCCAAUGAGUAAGGAAGAUUUGUCCCUAAAUCUCAGUACAGAAUUGUCUGGUGUAAUGACUAAUCUUGUUAAGAUUCCAGUUUUCAACUUUUUUUUUUUUUUUUUGGCAAAUUUACUCAGAUUUGGUAAGUAAUACAGCAACUGCAUCAAUUUCACUAGAUUACUUUCAUCAUAAAUAGGGGAAAAAAACAACACUAACAAAUAAUAAUUUUUCCCUUCCAGAACUUUACACCUGAUUCCAUAUUCUGAAAACAAUAAUGGUACUCACCUCUUUGGGGAAGAGGGAGAAAUUUCUGUACACAUAAAAUAAAACUAUUUGCUGAAUCCACCGAUGCUUUUAAUUGCAUAUGGUACAAGAAAUCUGUAAGUACUGCUACUGAGAACUAGGUGUAGUUAGUCUCUUUUCAUGUCAGAAACUGAAGACACAUGCAGUGCAGGUGACAGGCUACACACAGAGUUUCACCCUCAAUCCUUUAACUUUUUCAAUAGAUGAAACACUGAGUGAUAACUAUGAAGUAGCUGUUACUGACUGAGUUACCGCCUGGUUGUUUCAUGGUAGACAGACAGAGCCUCACAGUGUGAUAAAGGUUGGUGGGUAGGCACAGUUUUGAAAGCAUCCACUAUUGGCUCUAUCACUUCACAAGAGAAGGAGCUGAAGGAAAGCAGUAUAUUUUGCACGCACUGUGAUCUUUGAUGUUCUGUCCUACCUGGCAGCCCAAUGUUGCCAUCUAAAUGACAGCGCUGUUUUCUUGUUUAUUCUUUAUUUUAUCCAGUAUGUUUUAGAAUGAAUGUGUUUCAAAUGUGUGUGGUAUAAAAGUAGUACAGGAACACUGUUUCUUAAUUGUGCUCCAGGGAAGUCUUACUUUUCACUUCAUCAUAAACAAGAAUGCUGGAAAUUGAAAUGAACUGGCAAACCUAAGCUGCCCAUACAAUGCAAUUAGCUAAAAGAGUGAUAAAAGAUCUUAUCAAAUUUUCUAGGCAAAUAUAUAAUAUCCAUGCUUCUCAGCUAUCUGAAAAAGGUGAGUAUUCUUUCGAAUGUCCACAAUCAGUUCAAAGAUACUACCAGAACAAAGAGACACAGCCUGGAAUAAUCUUCCCUUUAUGAAAAACACUGUACAAUUUAGUAGAAAAAGCAAACAAAUUUCAACUCAUCUGAUAGUGUUUAGAAGAGAAUAAAUCAUACUCAAGACAGAAAAUGCUGAAAAUUUCUUAAGGAAAAUUUCCUGAGGGAAAUGUUUUAUGUUAAGUGCUAUAGGCUUCUGGAAUAAUUUCCCUCUAGAAGAUUACAUUUCUGUAUACUCGUUCACAUUCCUUCCUUCUUAAAUUUUUCAGGGGUCUUUCCAUGUGAACUACCACAUAUGUGUUGAACUAAGCUGCAUAUUGCAAUUAGUUUAAGUUUACUAAUUAGAUCAUUCUUUAGUUUUUCUUUCCUUCAUGCUUAGAGCUGAUGCAUUCAUUUAAUGGAAUUGUGUACACAACAAAAAAGCCAAACAAUAACGAAAUCCCUACAAGCUAGAAAAAAACACAAAUCCAAACAAAGCAAACUAAACCAAACCAAACUAGACAGAGGGUAGUGUGUUUCAAAUGAAUCAGGAAGACCCAUCUUUACUCUGAUGAACUUUUAUCACACUGCUCCCUGAAUGGUAGGCCCUUCAGCUUGAUGAGCAGGUCAUUGUACAAACAGCUGCUUAGAGUACUUGCAUUGCAUUGCUCACACUGAGAGGUUCUUUCCAAUGGAAAGAAAGGCUUACAUUCUGGUGUAAAAGGAGGGUUAUUGACACCUUGGCCCCUUUCUCAAUAAUGUUGCUACUGUAGUAGAUGAGAAAAUGAGAUAAAAAUAUUUCUCAUAAUUCUUCUGUAUUCUCUUCUUCUCAUAUCACUUCUGUUCCGUUUAUCUCCCAGGUUUCCCAACUGUUCUGCAAGUGAUUAUACAUAUGCAUAUAUGUAUAUAUAUAUAUAUAUAAGCAAGGUAUUAAAGAUGACUGUGAGGGCAGUGCUUAAAUGACUGACAAAAUGAGAUGGUUUUAAAGUAUAGCAAACUAAUUCAUUAACAGCACUACUUUUGCUAUUGGUUCAUUCUUGCACAUCAUUAAUCAUCAUUCCCACACAGACAAAAAGCUUAGACUUUAACACUCAUGUUUCUAAUUGGCUGUAAGUAUACAGUACCAUGGAUUUGAUGUAGCAGUGUGGGCAGCUUCUGUCCUUGCAAUUUCUUAUUCAUGGAUGUUGAUGAGAUCAGCCUUUGAGAGCUCUUUGAUGAGCACCAAAGUUGUCUAUCUCUCUCUUCCUUGCCUUUCCUCUUUGAGCUUCAAGUUUCACCUCUUUCACCUCCCUUCCAAAAGGGGUGGUCUUCUCUGCUCCUACUACUUAUUUAUUCAUCAUGCCAGUCAUUCUUUUGUAUCUGGCGGGAUGUCCUGUGUAUUUGCAGUCCCUUGCACUUACCUUGUCCUUUGGCAACAUUUUGUCUAUUCUACAAGCAGCUACCCUUAUUGUUUGUCCCUUUGGCAGUGAAACUACCAACGAGUUUAUAUGCCAUCACAUUAUUAAAAGGAGAGCUCGUAUACUGUGUUGGUUGCACUAUUUUACUA
rnacentral:lncRNA from 1 species